ACGUGGGGUCUGAAGUCUUCGUGGGUGUAGGUUUCUUCGUUAUGCUGACGACAGGCAGUGCCCGAACUCUAGGCUGGGAGUUGUGCCAUGCUGCUGCUUUCGUGGGCUGACCAGAAAAGGGUAGAAGGAUUGACGUUUACGAAGUUUUUGAAUCAGGAGGCAAGGUCGCCUUGUGCCCCCAAAAGGAUAGAAAAAGGCCUGGCAAACUGGAGAAUCGCGUCCUUACGGUAUCCUGUGUUUUCCAGUUGAAAGCUUGUGAAAAUUCGCUUUAUCCUUGAAGUUCAGAAUUUUCACCAGGAUGUAUGAAGACCCUGUCCUCGAUGGAUCAGCUGGCACCACCCAGAUGGAUAAACUGGCUCAUCUGAUCUUGUGGCCCCCAUCCAGGAAGUGACUCAGUGUAAGAAGACAGCUUCAACUCCCUAUGAUUUCAUCUCUGACCAAUCAGCACUCUCGGCUCACUGGCUUCCUCCAACCCACCAAUUUGUUCUUUUUUUUUUUGAGACCAAGUCUCACCUGUCGCCCAGGCUGGAGUGCAGUGGCGUGAUCUCUGCUCACAGCAACCUCCGCCUCCUAGGUUCAAGCAAUUCUCCUGCCCCAGCCUCCCGAGUAGCUGGGAUUACAGGUGUGCGACUCCAUGCCCGGCUAACUUUUGCAUUUUUAGUAGAGACAGGGUUUCACCAUGUUGGUCAGGCUGGUCUCAAACUUCUGACCUCGUGACCCACCCGCCUCGGCCUCCCAAAGUGCUGGGAUUACAGGCAUGGGCCACUGCGCCCAGCCAAUUUGUUCUUAAAAACUCUGAUCCCUGAAUGCUUAGGGAGACUGAUUUGAGCAGUAAUAAAACUCUGGUCUCCCACA
ensembl:lncRNA novel transcript